UCCCCAUAUUGGGUGCAGAGAUUACUUAAAAAUAAAAUCUUAAAAAAAAAAAUAUCAACAGAUGUUCAACAGAUGCGGGCCAAUCAGAAAGGAUUCUCCACUAUUCAGAGCUGAUGACACUUAUAAACCAAUGAUAAUACCAUAGUGAAACUUGCCAGUGAGUGUUAGCUCUGUCUAUGAGAUGUCCAAGUGGAGACAUGUGAUUCUGGAGUUCAGGAGAGGAUCAGGGCUGGUGAUGAGUGGUUUAAGACCAUGGGAUUAUGGGAGGUGACAGGGAGGGGAAAGUGGGUGACGGACAUUGAGGAGGGCACCUGUCGGGAUGAGCACUGAGUGUUGUAUGGAAACCAAUUUGACAGUAAAUUUCAUAUUAAAAAAAAAAAAAAAGACCAUGGGAUUGAUGAGAUCAUCAACUGAGUGGGUGUAGAGAUAUACAAAUGAAAAGGUCAAGCACUGAGAAAAAUAGUCUGCAAAGGUGAGAAGUGACCAUUGAGGUAGAGGAAAACCAAGUAGGGGUGGUGUCCUAGGAGCCAAAGGGAGAAUGUAUUUCACGGAGAGAGCAAUCUAUGGUGACAAGUGCUGUUGCAGGGUUAAGAAAAUCACCGAAGACCCAUCGUUGGAUUGGAAACGUGGAGGUCAUUGGCUUUGACCAGGAUGGUUUUAGUGGAGUCGCUGGGAUAGAAGCCUGCUUGGAAUGUGAUCAAGAGAUGACCAGAGCUGGAAAGUCUGCUUAACUCUUUGAAGACGAUGAGAGAAAUGACGGUGUUUGCUUACUGAUGGAAACGAUCUGGCAUAGAAGGCAUCGAUAAGAAGCUACUGCAGAGCAAAUCUUUGAGCAGGUGGAAGGAAAUUGAAUGGAGUGCAGAAUAGAACAUAGACAGUUGCAGAAUUGGAGUGGAAGAACAUGCCCUAUUGCCAUUGCCAUCACCCUUCUUCCACAAAAGGCUAAAGAUGGGUGAAGACUGUAGAUUGACUGAAAAGUACUUCGACUCUCCAUUGAAUGCUUGCGCUCAGACGAUCUACCUGAGGGCUUGUGUCCUGCUUUCUUCAAUGAGGUGAAUGUGAGGACACAAUAGAUUAUAUUCAAAUGGCAGUCAUGGAGGAAACUUCCCUUUCCUUCCUCAUCCACCAAGCUGAUCGAUGGGCGCUAAAGCCCCGGGGAAGCAGCAUCUGUUGUAACUCAAGGAUCCCUGCUCGAGCUGAGUAUGAAAUUAACAGACACAGAGCAGUUAGCAGCUCAACAUUUGUUCAAGUCUGGCACAUGCACACAUCAUUAGCAACUAUAUUUGAGGAGCAAGAUCAAGGAGGUGAGGAAGAGGGUGUGUCUGAUUAAAGGGAUAUUCAGGGAAGAGGAAAUUCAGAGCAUUUAGGUAAAGCUUCAUGGCUAAAAUAAAUGAACUGGAGAGCAGAGCAAACAGCCAGGGACAUGGGAUAAUUUUGCCUGUGCAACUUCCCAAACAAAGUCAUUUCACGCAGUGGAUCCCCCAGAGUGGCUGGCUGCCUCUUUUACUUCAGCUCCAUGGGCUGUCUCUCCAUUAAAAUUCGAGGGCAAAGAUUUUGCUGUCCUGUUCGCUGCUGUAAUCUGGGCUCUUAGUAGAUAAAAUUAAAUAUUCAUGGAAUAAGUUAACGUA